rnacentral:tRNA from 1 species
AAGAUGGGCCCUAGAAAGCCCCGCAAGCA